UCCUCGUUAGUAUAGUGGACAGUAUCUCCGCCUGUCACGCCGAAGACCGGGGUUCGAUUCCCCGACGGGGAG
rnacentral:tRNA from 1 species